UGCGUAGGCGGGUUUCUAGGUCAGAGGUGAAAGCCUGGAGCUCAACUCCAGAACUGCCUUUGAUACUGGAAGUCUUGAGUAUGGCAGAGGUGAGUGGAACUGCGAGUGUAGAGGUGAAAUUCGUAGAUAUUCGCAAGAACACCAGUGGCGAAGGCGGCUCACUGGGCCAUUACUGACGCUGAGGCAAAGACUGGGGAGCAAACA
rnacentral:rRNA from 1 species